rnacentral:ribozyme from 1 species
GGAGGACACCGGGGCGGCGAUGGACGGGGUGGUCUACGGCUGCGUAAUCAACGCUUGCGGGAAGGUCGGCGACGCAGAGCGGGCC